rnacentral:rRNA from 1 species
UACAGAGGUGUCAAACGUUGUCCGGAAUUACUGGGCAUAAAGCGCACGUAGGCGGUCCGUUAAGUCAUGUGUGAAAUCCCCCGGCUCAACCGGGGAAUUGCGCCUGAUACUGGCGGGCUAGAGGUCGAUAGGGGUGAGCGGAACUCCAGGUGGAGCGGUGAAAUGCGUAGAUAUCUGGAGGAACACCGGUGGCGAAAGCGGCUCACUGGAUCGAAACUGACGCUGAGGUGCGAAAGCGUGGGGAGCAAACAGG